AUUGAACGCUGGCGGCAGGCCUAACACAUGCAAGUCGAACGAGUCGCGGACUGGUGACUAAUGUCUGGGAAACUGCCUGACGGAGGCGGAUAACUCCUGGAAACGGUAGCUAAUACCGCAUACCAUCAGAUGUGCCCAGAUGGGAUGAGCUAGUUGGUGGGGUAACGGCUCACCAAGGCGACGAUCCCUAGCUGGUCUGAGAGGAUGACCAGCCACACUGGGACUGAGACACGGUCCAGACUCCUACGGGAGGCAGCAGUGGGGAAUAUUGCGCAAUGGGCGCAAGCCUGAUUCAGCCAUGCCGCGUGUAUGAAGAAGGCCUUCGGGUUGUAAAGUACUUUUAGCGGGGAGGCGUUACCCGAAGAAGAAGCACCGGCUAACUCCGUGCCAGCAGCCGCGGUAAUAC
rnacentral:rRNA from 1 species